AGGAGCAUGUGUCACAGCUUGUGACACACCACCAAGGGAACAUGGAUGCCGAGGAAAUGUCUACACACGCUACACAUUUGUGGCAUGCAUGAGGAAGAAGGCCACCAUUUGCAGAUUCGAUUUCCGAAAGCAACUAGUAAGAUCCUCCUUUCUCCAUCUCAUCCAGCUGACCCGGCCCUGGCCACACAGCAAAAAACUAACAAAACAGGACGCAGCCACAAAACAUGCUUACACACGCUCCACAGACAACGCAAGGGCAGGCUAGGCAGCGUUCUACCCAGUUCUACCCAGAGAACUCGACUACCCCCAGGGCCUGAGCGGGUCCGGGUCCUGGACCUCGACCCCCUCCCCCCUCCAACCUCCCAACGUGCGAAAGAGGUUUUCAGAAAGGGCAGGCACCCGGUUUUGCCUUGCCAGGCCGGGCAGAAAAAAGAAUAAAGGAAAGCCAAAGCAA